ensembl:ncRNA Y105E8B.13 ncRNA
AUUAAUUCCGAAAAGUUUUAAUGGAAAGCAAAGAAAAUUGCACUAAAUGCUAUAGUUUUUUCUAUAAAUU